GGCCGGGUGCGAUGCAAGGGUCGGCUGUGAACCGGGUCAGGUCCGAAAGGAAGCAGCCAUAAGCAGAUCCGGUCUUGUGCCGUCGUCACCCGGUCGUC
rnacentral:SRP_RNA from 1 species